ACAAUUACGACAAAACGAUGUUGU
rnacentral:snRNA from 1 species